UACGGGGGGAGCAAGCGUUGUUCGGAUUUACUGGGCGUAAAGGGCGCGUAGGCGGCGCGACAAGUCACUUGUGAAAUCUCCGGGCUUAACCCGGAGCGGCCAAGUGAUACUGUAGUGCUAGAGUGCGGAAGGGGCUACUGGAAUUCUCGGUGUAGCGGUGAAAUGCGCAGAUAUCGGGAGGAACACCAAUUGCGAAGGCAGCUCGCUGGGACGUCACUGACGCUGAGACGCGAAAGCGUGGGGAGCAAACAGG
rnacentral:rRNA from 1 species